rnacentral:rRNA from 1 species
CAAGGAAUAUUGGUCAAUGGACGCAAGUCUGAACCAGCCAUGCCGCGUGGAGGAUUAAGGCCCUCUGGGUUGUAACCUCCUUUUAUCUGGGAAGAAAUGUACUUUUUCUUGAGUACUUGACGGUACCAGAGGAAUAAGCACCGGCUAACUCCGUGCCAGCAGCCGCGGUAAUACGGAGGGUGCAAGCGUUAUCCGGAUUCACUGGGUUUAAAGGGUGCGUAGGUGGGCAGGUAAGUCAGUGGUGAAAUCUCCGGGCUUAACCCGGAAACUGCCGUUGAUACUAUUUGUCUUGAAUAUUGUGGAGGUAAGCGGAAUAUGUCAUGUAGCGGUGAAAUGCUUAGAUAUGACAUAGAACACCAAUUGCGAAGGCAGCUUACUACACAAUCAUUGACGCUGAGGCACGAAAGCGUGGGGAUCAAACA